rnacentral:lncRNA from 1 species
UGGUGAGAUCUAGGCUCCUUAGCAAGGGCUAUGAUGCCAUUGUCUUUGCAGUAUAGUGUCACGGCAUUUGAUAGUAUGACAACUAAUUCUGCAACUAACAUUACAACCAAAAUGCAUCCUACACAUCUACAGUAUACUCAGCUUUCAUUGAUCUAUUAUUUAAAAUUCUUCUAAGAUAUCAUCAUAAGAACACAUCCAUGAUGUAGAUAUUCUAUCAUCAACAUUAGAUAUAAAGUCUGAAUUGGUGUAUCCUCCCA